rnacentral:lncRNA from 1 species
UGGCAACAUACAAGUUCCUCCAAGGUGUUAUUGGCCCUUGAAGCUUUGUGACAAGGGCAUCAGGAGAUGUAUCAGCAUCCAGAUGGGGCCACAACUCCUUGUUCUGAGCUUUCUCUCCCCGAACAACAUGAACAGCGUCAAAAUCCCAGUCCAUACUUCCACUAAUCUCAGUAACUAUAUUCAUCAGUCUCUUUGAUUUCCACAAAGCAUGCCACGGCCUCUGGAUGUCUUUGGCAGACAUCAUAAUCCCAGUCCAUACUUCCACUAAUCUCAGUUACUAUAUUCAUCAGUCUCUUUGAUUUCCACAAAGCGUGCCACGGCCUCUGGAUGUCUUUGGCAGCAGGCCCUUCACAGACACGAUACCAGUAGUUC